rnacentral:rRNA from 1 species
AUCUAUGAUCAUUCCACUCUGAAUGUAUCCAAUUUUGUCUCAUCUUGGAAGCUAAGUAGAGUAGGGCCUGGUUGGUACUUGGAUGAGAGAAAUGGAAAGAUGACCAUCCAUGCUA